UACGUAGGUGGCAAAGCGUUGUCCGGAAUUAUUGGGCGUAAAGCGCUGCGCAGGCGGUUCUUUAAGUCUGAUGUGAAAGCCCACGGCUCAACCGUGGAGGGUCAUUGGAAACUGGAGAACUUGAGUACAGGAAGAGGAAAGCGGAAUUCCACGUGUAGCGGUGAAAUGCGUAGAGAUGUGGAGGAACACCAGUGGCGAAGGCGGCGUUUCUCGGUCGUGUAACUGACGCUGAGGCGCGAAAAGCGUGGGGAGCAAACAGG
rnacentral:rRNA from 1 species